rnacentral:rRNA from 1 species
UACAGAGGGGGCAAGCGUUGUUCGGAAUUACUGGGCGUAAAGGGCGCGUAGGCGGCCUUCUAAGUCGAACGUGAAAUCCCCGGGCUCAACCCGGGAACUGCGUCCGAUACUGGAAGGCUUGAAUCCGGGAGAGGGAUGCGGAAUUCCAGGUGUAGCGGUGAAAUGCGUAGAUAUCUGGAGGAACACCGGUGGCGGAAGGCGGCGACCUGGGCCAAUACUUGACGCUGAGGUGCGAAAGCGUGGGGAGCAAACAGGAUUGAGAA